rnacentral:rRNA from 1 species
GGACUACCAGGGUAUCUAAUCCUGUUUGCUCCCCACGCUUUCGCGCCUCAGCGUCAGUCUCGGUCCAGAGAGCCGCCUUCGCCACCGGUGUUCUUCCCAAUAUCUACGAAUUUCACCUCUACACUGGGAAUUCCACUCUCCUCUCCCGAACUCAAGCCAACCAGUCCCAAGCGCCAUUCCCAGGUUGAGCCCGGGGCUUUCACGCCUGACUUGAUUGGCCGCCUACGCGCCCUUUACGCCCAGUAAAUCCGAACAACGCUCGCCCCCUUCGUAUUACCGCGGCUGCUGGCAC